rnacentral:rRNA from 1 species
GGACGAACGCUGGCGGCGUGCCUAACACAUGCAAGUCGAACGAGAAGUCUACUUAUGAAAUUUCGGAUGGAUUAGGUAGAGGAAAGUGGCGAACGGGUGAGUAACGCGUGAGCAAUCUGCCUUGUACUGGGGGAUAACGUCGGGAAACCGGCGCUAAGUACCGCAUAAUACUAUGAGAUCGCAUGGUCAUAUAGUCAAAACUCCGGUGGUACAAGAUGAGCUCGCGUCCAAUUAGCUAGUUGGUGGGGUAAUGGCCCACCAAGGCGACGAUUGGUAGCCGAACUGAGAGGUUGAUCGGCCACAUUGGGACUGAGACACGGCCCAGACUCCUACGGGAGGCAGCAGUGGGGAAUAUUGCGCAAUUGGAGGGAACUCUGACGCAGCAACGCCGCGUGAAGGAUGAAGGUUUUCGGAUUGUAAACUUCUUUGAUCGGGGACGAAAUUGACGGUACCCGAGGAACAAGCCACGGCUAACUACGUGCCAGCCGCGGC